rnacentral:lncRNA from 1 species
UGACUCUCAUCGGCAGCAGGGCUCCUGGAAGUCCUGCUUCUCAUUACUACUGUGGACUGGAGCCUCCCCAGAGCUCCCUGGGGUCCUUGGCCUGGGUGAAGAUGGAUGAAGAUCAGAUCCAGCAGCUGUGGGUAGAGGAGGGUCCAGGAAGCAGGCACAAAGAGAGGCCUCAACUGUCAGAACAUGUAAUAAACAUAACCAGCCAGAGGACUGAGGGGAGGCAGAAGGCACACAGUUAACCACUGCAGCAGAAAGUAGCAGAAAUGAAGGUAUGCUCGCCCUGUACCUACUUUUCAUAAACCACCACUCUCUUUUUUUCUAACAAACGUUUGAAUGCUAAACACACUACUAUUGCUGAUACUUUCCAAGGGUGUAAUGUUUCUUUAAAUUGUCAUAUGGAGAGGCAGUUUAGUGUAAUAGAAAGGACAUAGGCUAUAAAGCCAAUCAAAUCCUUGUCCUGCUACUUAAUAGCUGUGUGAC